CAAGUGACCAAGCUUGUCCUGCUACGACAACGUCCCGCUAAGUUGUCCAUUGGGCACCAUGGUGAGCGGUCCCUGGAGAGCUUCUGUCACUGGCAGAACGAGGAGUAUGGAGGAGCGCGAUACCUCGGCAAUAACCAGGUUCCCGGCGGGAAGGACGACCCGCCCCUGGUGGAUGCUGCCGUGUUUGUGACCAGGCUGUGGUCAAGCCGGACAGUGUAUUCUCCAAGACGUUCCCUGACAAACAGGUGGCUAGGUGGCUGCCAUGGAGGACGUGAGCAUGACAUGUCUAGCAGGAGCUGCUGAGCCAGAAGCGGUUGAAGCUGGGUUUUCUGCAGCUGUGUCUGGGACUUGGAAGGACCCCUGAGUGGACUGGGCCUGGGGUCACACGGAGCCCACACAGAAGCCAGGGCUUAGGGGGCUUCAGCACCUGGGGGGGCUUCACCUUGGCCUCCACAUCUGACCCAGAAAGCUGAGAACGCAGAGAACUCCUCCCUGAAGUCGAGAACUCCUCCUCGAGCCUGGGCCUGUGCUCUGGGUGAGAGUGCCUGGGAGACACCAUAGCAGACACAGCUGGCCCGAAGCUGCACCACCAGGAUCCCUCUGGCCAGACCUUCCCCUCCAGCAUAAUACCAUCUAACUCCUCGGGGCACCCUUCCCUUUACCUUCUGCCAGGGGACCCUCUUGCCAGGCUUUGCGCGUGGUGAAGCCUCAGCAAGUAUCCAUGGAACUUGAUGUUACGCUCCCAGGCUUCCCACGCUCGUGAGGCCAUGGCUGCUGGGUAGCUUGCAGGGCCCCUUGAAAGGGUCUGGAAACGUCAGUCAAUUAAUAAACGAAUGUAUUAAGUCCC
rnacentral:lncRNA from 10 species